ACGCCCAUACCACAUUGAAAACACCGGUUCUCGUGCGAUCACCGAAGUUAAGCAAUGUCGUUCCUGGUCAGUACUUGGGAGGGUGACCACCUUGGAACACUAGGUGUUAUAGGCU